ACGCUCGACACCUACGGGGGGCAGCAGUGGGGAAUAUUGCACAAUGGGGGGAACCCUGAUGCAGCGACGCCGCGUGAGGGAAGAAGGUUUUCGGAUUGUAAACCUCUGUCCUUGGUGACGAUAAUGACGGUAGCCAAGGAGGAAGCCACGGCUAACUACGUGCCAGCAGCCACGGUAAUCUGAGCGGGCUGGCAAGGC
rnacentral:rRNA from 1 species